rnacentral:lncRNA from 1 species
UUUAAUGUAAUUUCUGUAUACUGAAUUGUAGAAGAGAGAGAUACAAAGCUUCACCGUAUCGUAUUUACAAACUCAUGACGUAUGUAAAACGCAUACAGGAAUAGUAAGCUCAUACGCUACUUCCACAAUAACAAAAACUGAAUACGUAUUUCUCAACAAUUCUAGUAUUUAUACUAACUGUCUUCCAACUGCUUCUCUCACGCGUUUUCUUCACACGCUUAACCGUCUUCACUCCUCUGUUCUCUUCCUUCCUUCUGUUCAUUUCCUUCUUUUAUACACAUUAAGAGGUCUAUCAGUUGGUUUUGGAAAUGUUUUUAUGUCGAUAAAGUAAAAUCAUAUUUGAUUAAUGGGUUAAAGGAGUUACCUGGAGGCGGCUAAAAUUACGGUGAGGACACUUUGAUUCCAGGUGGAGCUGUUAGGAGAUUCAAGGGAAGACAAGUUAGCUCUGUUUUCAUGAAUCUGGGAAGCAAGUCGAGAGUACAAGGUUCAGGUUAAGGGAUUUACCUGAGGUCAUCUAAGUAGCUGAAGAACAUUGGUUGUUCACUGGGAGAAGCUGCAAAGAAGAUGAAAUUGAGACUAGGGUUAGUUUCAGGUGGAGUAGCUGCAAACGAUUCAAGAAGAGAUUGAUUUAAAGCUCAGUGCACAUGAGAUGAAUCAACAGGUCGAUAAAGAUGAAUCAAGUUUUGUGGAGAAGCUACGAAGUAUAAAAUCAAGUUCGGAUUUCACAGUGUCUCGGAAAUAUCAGUUGAUACAGAGACAGAGCAAGGAGGAGAUGAUGCAGGUUCGGAGGGUUACCUGAUGUCAUCCCAAAAAGCGGAGAAGAUGAAGCAGUUCGUCGGAGAAGCUGAUAAAGAGGAAAAGUCAAAAAAAAUUUUAGAAUUUUGGUGGACUGGAAAUCUGAUGCAGCACAUCGUUGAUUAAUGGGCUUUUAUGACAAACACGUCGCGGGCUUUAAACGUGUUUGUUCAACUAUUAUCUUCAUCUUUUAUUUCUAGUUUGUUUUCUUUUAGGAUCAGAUAAACACAAAUCUUUUAGGAUUAGGAUCUUUCGUAAUCUCUUUAGCUUAUUAUUUAAGGUCGUCGAAUAGCCUUGUGAUCGACACCUUUUUUUGACAUUUAAAGCAUUUAUUCAAGAGCUUGUUUAAGCACUAAGAGGAGUACUCUUAAUCCUUUGUCGUAGUCGAGCUUUCGACUGAGACAAAAUCGAGAUCGUUUCAAGCAAUUCUUCGAGUUCUUGUUGUGAUUUCGUUUACGUAGCUUCCGCCUCUCUAUCAGUUGGUAUCAGAAUCGGUACGUUCCUGAAGGUUGUUGACGUUGAGACAAUGCCUCCGAAGAAGAACAUCAACAACACCGGUCACAACACUAAUUCGACAAGUGAUUGGACCGAGCUUCGUGCUACUCUCCUGGCGAUGCAGGAGAACAUUCAGGCGACGAUUCACGCGUCUAUUCAGGAUAUGGGCGAGACACUAUUGACGCGUUUGGACGCUCGUAUGCCAGGUCGUGCACAGGGUGAGGAGCGUAUGAACAACCCCUUUGCAAAUCGCGAUGAUAAUGAUGACGUGGAGGACGAUGAGUAUCCCAGGCGAGUUCGUCGUGAUAAUUACCAUGGUGAAGGCGGCGACAACAGGUGGGAGUCCGGUUUUCAUGUUGAUAUUCCGGAAUUCCUAGGAGGAAUUCGAGGUGAUGAACUCCUUGACUGGAUCGUUUCGGUGGAGGAGAUACUCGACUUCAAACGAGUUCCCGAGGACAGACGUGUUCCUCUUGUGGCGAUGAGAUUUCGAGGUCAUGCCGCGUCUUGGUGGAAGCAAGUGAAGUCGACAAGAACAUGCACAGGGAAAGAGCUGAUACAGUCCUGGGAGAAAUUAAAAAAACACUUGCGCAAGGCCUUUCUUCCGCACAAUUAUGACCGCCAGAUGUAUACACGCUUACAGAAUCUGCGGCAAGGGAGUCGUAGCGUGGAGGAUUACGCGGAGGAAUUCUCCGUCUUGCUCACUCGCAACGAGCUUCGUGAUUCAAAGCCUCAGCUGGUAUCUCGUUUCAUUGGAGGUUUGCGCCCCCAGCUUCAAACGGCGAUGGCACAGUUCGAUCCUACGACGAUCAGUGAAGCCUUCCGACGAGCUUCAUCCUUUGAACAGCAGCUGAGAUCGUCAGGUUGGACCUCUGGGUCUGUUCGAAACAGAACACAGGAUCCUGCGAGUGUUGCUUCUUCUGCAACGCAUAAGGACGUUGGUGAUAAUGUUGUGCAGUCGUCGCGCGUCACAGCGCCUCCGGAAGACCAAGCUUUACGCCGUUCUAGCCAGCCCAACGCACUAAGAUGCUAUUCUUGUGGCGAACAGGGGCAUCGCCAGACAGCCUGUCCCCACCAGACGCGUCGUGGUCUUGUCGUCGGAGAUACUACAAUUGAUUUGGCCGCGGCUUAUGACUCAAAAGCAGAGGACGAUGACCUUGAGGACUCUGAGAUUGUUCCGACACACGGUGACACAGGACGACUUUUGGUGUUUCAUCGCAAUUGUGUCACACCUCGACGACAAGACGAACAGUGGUUGCGAACUAACAUUUUUUGAUCGACGUGUACGAUUAAAGGACGUGUCUGCACUUUUAUCGUCGAUUCGGGCAGCUGCCGCAACGUGAUAUCUGCUUUUGCGGCUGACAAAUUGGAGAUUCCCAAGGAAGCCCACCCUGCUCCUUAUACUCUUGGGUGGCUGUACGAGGGAGUUAGCGUCCGUAUCACAGAACGUGCACUCGUGGCAUUUUCUAUUGGGCCACAUUAUCGCGAUCGUACGUACUGCGAUGUUGCUCCUAUGGACGUCUGCCACCUCUUGUUGGGUCGUCCGUGGGAAUUCGACAGGAAGAUUAUCCAUGACGGAGCGCGUAAUACCUACAGCUUCAUAUGGGAAACACAUCAGAUCCUUUUAGUCCCUUCACGUGAAGCUUCGUUACCUGCCCCGCCAUCUCCGAUCGUCUCUGAGCCGAACUCGCGUCGCACACCGGCACCAUCGAUAACAACACUCUUAUGUUCAUACUCUGAUUUUACAGCUGAGUUGCGUAGGGAGGCAUCGCGUAUGCACUUCUGCCUUCGUCCCCUACGCGAGUCCUUUCUUCUCGCUCUACAUCGGCACUUGAUGCUGUUUUAGCAGAGUUUGUGGACGUCUUUCCUGACGAACUCCCUACACAGCUUCCACCACUUCGCGACAUUCAGCACACUAUUGAUCUGGUGCCUGGUGCGACGCUUCCCAAUCGUCCACACUACAGGAUGAGUCCUCACGAACACGAGGAACUUCGUCGUCAAGUGGAAGAUUUGCUUCGCAAAGGCCAUAUUCGUGAGAGUCUUAGCCCCUGUGCGGUACCAGCGUUGUUGAUCCCAAAAAAGGAUGGCACUUGGCGUAUGUGUGUAGAUAGUCGUGCGAUCAAUAAGAUUACGGUGCGUUAUCGAUUUCCUAUUCCACGCUUGGAUGACUUACUCGAUCAGAUUGGAUCAGCAACUGUCUUUUCAAAGAUCGAUUUGAAGAGUGGCUACCAUCAAAUUCGAAUUCGCCCAGGUGACAAAUGGAAGACGGCUUUCAAGACGCGAGAGGGUUUAUUUGAGUGGCUAGUCAUGCCAUUUGGGUUAUCAAAUGCACCCAGUACGUUUAUGCGUAUCAUGAAUCAAGCCUUGCGUCCCUUCAUAGGCAAAUGUGUGGUGGUCUACUUCGAUGAUAUCCUUAUCUUCAGCGCUUCUAUGGACGAUCAUGUACGACAUAUUCGUGAUGUUUUGCUUGUUCUUCGCAAAGAAACAUUUUUCGCGGCAAAGCAGAAGUGCGAAUUUGGUGUUCCCGAAGUGCUUUUUCUGGGAUAUGUGGUGUCUGCAAAAGGUUUGGCGGUAGAUAUGUCUAAGAUUGAAGCCGUCCAAUCCUGGCGCGUACCGUCACGGAGGUUCGCAGCUUCCACGGAUUAGCUUCUUUCUACCGGCGAUUCGUGAGCCACUUUAGCUCUAUAAUGGCUCCGAUCACGAGCUGUAUGCGAGAAGGGAAAUUUGAGUGGACUUCUGAGGCAGCCGCUGCUUUCGAAUUAAUCAAGGAGAAGCUCACUUCAGCCCCCAUUUUGGUUUUGCCAGACUUCUCUGUCACGUUUGAGCUGCAUUGUGAUGCGUCGAAACUUGGCAUUGGGGCCGUAUUGAGUCAACUUGGGCGCCCUGUUGCUUUCUUUAGCGAGAAGUUAGCAGGCGCAAGAGGACGCUACAGCACUUACGAUGUGGAAUUCUAUGCUAUCGUCCAAGCAAUUAAACACUGGAGACAUUACUUGAUUCACCGUGAGUUUGUUUUAUUUACUGACCAUGAUGCACUUCGCCAUCUUGAUAGCCAUGCAAAGGUUUCUGCGCGUCAUGCUGCCUGGAUUUCUUACCUGCAACAGUUCACAUUCUCUAUUCGUCAUCAAUCUGGCAAGACGAAUCGAGUCGCGGAUGCGUUGAGUCGCAGGCAUUCUCUCCUUUCAACAAUUCAUACGACGGUGGUUGGAUUGUCUUCCCUCGCGGAACUAUAUACGACUGACCCCUUUUUCAGUCGCAUAUUUGCAGAAGUAUCGAAUGGUCCGAAUUCUGAUUAUACGCUCCAGGAUGGUUUUCUUUUUAAGGGCCUACGGCUGUGUGUUCCUGAGUGUAGCUUGCGUACACAAAUCAUUCGUGAAUUACACAAUGAAGGACAUGUGGGGAGGGAUCGCACCCUGCAGCUUAUCACGACGUCGUAUUUUUGGCCGUCUCUGCAUCGAGACGUUGAGCGAUUUGUUGAGUGCUGUCGCAUCUGUCAGCAGGCAAAGGGCAAGGCGUCUAAUGCAGGCCUCUAUUUGCCUCUUCGCAUUCCGACUCAACCCUGGACUGAUGUUAGUAUGGACUUUGUUCUGGGGCUUCCUCGUACACAGCGUGGCAGUGACUCAAUCUUUGUCGUUGUGGAUCGUUUCUCGAAGAUGGCGCAUUUUAUACCUUGUAAGAAGACAACAGAUGCAGUGAGUGUGGCCAUUUUGUUCUUUCGGGAAGUUUACCGCCUCCAUGGAUUACCAACUUCCAUCGUAUCGGACAGGGACACGCGGUUUCUUAGCCACUUUUGGAGAUCCUUGUGGCGUUUGCUAGGGACGAGCCUAGACAUGAGUUCGGCGUAUCACCCUCAGACGGAUGGCCAGACGGAGGUGACGAACAGGUCGCUGGGCAAUCUUCUUCGCUGUUUGGUUGGUGAUAACAUCAAGUCAUGGGACUCUAAGUUGUGCCAGGCAGAAUUUGCGCACAACCACGCCGUUAAUCGGAGUGUUGGUUUUUCACCUUUUCAGGUUGUGUACGGCGUCGUUCCUCGCUGCCCGCUGGACUUGUCAACACUUCCUGAUCGCACGCGUCAUCAUGGUGAAGCUAUUGACUUUGUGGACAGCCUGCAGCAGGUUCAUCAGUCCGCGCGUGAAAAUUUGGUUAAGUCUUCUGCUAAGUACAAGCUCGCAGCUGAUGCGAAACGCCGUGAGGUGAUCUACAACCCUGGCGACUUGGUUUGGGUAGUCUUGACGAAGGAUCGUUUUUCGGUGGGCGACUACAACAAGCUCAAGUCGCGUAAAGUUGGACCGGUGGAGGUACUCGAGCGUAUCAACGCAAAUGCUUAUCGAGUUCGUCUUCCAGCACACCUGCGCACUUCCGACGUGUUUAAUGUGAAGCAUCUUUCUCCAUUUUAUGGUGAUAACGACCCUGUCGAUUCGCGGACGAAUCCUUCUUCACCUGGGGGGACCUGAUGCAGCACAUCGUUGAUUAAUGGGCUUUUAUGACAAACACGUCGCGGGCUUUAAACGUGUUUGUUCAACUAUUAUCUUCAUCUUUUAUUUCUAGUUUGUUUUCUUUUAGGAUCAGAUAAACACAAAUCUUUUAGGAUUAGGAUCUUUCGUAAUCUCUUUAGCUUUUUUUUUAAGGUCGUCGAAUAGCCUUGUGAUCGACACCUUUUUUUGACAUUUAAAGCAUUUAUUCAAGAGCUUGUUUAAGCACUAAGAGGAGUACUCUUAAUCCUUUGUCGUAGUCGAGCUUUCGACUGAGACAAAAUCGAGAUCGUUUCAAGCAAUUCUUCGAGUUCUUGUUGUGAUUUCGUUUACGUAGCUUCCGCCUCUCUAUCAAAAUCUCAGAAAGGGUCAAUUUCAAAUCAUCAGAACAAGGAGAUGAAAAGGAGAUUGAGGAUACCUGAGAAUACAGCGGAUAACAGCGACAAAGGAAUCGCAGGAGAUGAAAAUUUUCUGGUCGGAGAAAUUUUUUUCAUCUAAUUUCACUAUCAGAGAA